CAAAAGCUUGGUCCUGACUUUUCUAUCAGCUUUGAUUAAAUUUAUACAUGCAAGUCUCCGCACUCCUGUGAGAAUGCCCUAAUUAUGCCCUCCCCGGGAAAAAGGAGCCGGCAUCAGGCACAACCCAGUUUAGCCCACGACGCCUUGCCAAGCCACACCCCCACGGGACUCCAGCAGUAAUAAACAUUAAGCCAUAAGUGAAAACUUGACUUAGUUAAUAUCAGAUAGGGCCGGUAAAACUCGUGCCAGCCACCGCGGUUAUACGAGAGGCCCAAGUUGACAGACAUCGGCGUAAAGGUGGUUAUUGAACCAGCACACUAAGGUCAAACAUCUUCAAUACUGUUAUACGUACCCGAAGACAGGAAGAACUACCACGAAAGUGGCCUUAAUUUACAUGAAGCCACGAAAGCUAGGGAACAAACUGGGAUUAGAUACCCCACUAUGCCUAGCCGUAAACACAGAUACACUAUUACACCACUAUUCGCCAGGGAACAACGAGCCCCAGCUUAAAACCCAAAGGACUUGGCGGUGCUUUAGACCCCCCUAGAGGAGCCUGUUCUAGAACCGAUACUCCCCGUUCAACCUCACCCUCUCUUGUCCUUCCCGCCUAUAUACCGCCGUCGUCAGCUUACCCUGUGAAGGCCCCAACAGUAAGCAGAAUUGGCACGUAGCCCAAAACGUCAGGUCGAGGUGUAGCGUACGAGAGGGGAAGAAAUGGGCUACAUUUACUGGACCAGUACAUACGGACCCUGUUCUGAAAAUGACAGGUGAAGGAGGAUUUAGCAGUAAGGGGAGAAUAGAGCGCCCCCCUGAAACCGGCCCUGAAGCGCGCACACACCGCCCGUCACUCUCCCCGAAAAACCAUAACAAAUAAUUAAAACCCUGCCAUUAAUAGAGGGGAGGCAAGUCGUAACAUGGUAAGUGUACCGGAAGGUGCACUUGGAAAAACC
rnacentral:ncRNA from 1 species